rnacentral:rRNA from 1 species
UGAACGCUGGCGGUAGGCCUAACACAUGCAAGUCGAACGGCAGCACAGUAAGAGCUUGCUCUUACGGGUGGCGAGUGGCGGACGGGUGAGGAAUACAUCGGAAUCUACUUUUUCGUGGGGGAUAACGUAGGGAAACUUACGCUAAUACCGCAUACGACCUACGGGUGAAAGCAGGGGAUCUUCGGACCUUGCGCGAUUGAAUGAGCCGAUGUCGGAUUAGCUAGUUGGCGGGGUAAAGGCCCACCAAGGCGACGAUCCGUAGCUGGUCUGAGAGGAUGAUCAGCCACACUGGAACUGAGACACGGUCCAGACUCCUACGGGAGGCAGCAGUGGGGAAUAUUGGACAAUGGGCGCAAGCCUGAUCCAGCCAUACCGCGUGGGUGAAGAAGGCCUUCGGGUUGUAAAGCCCUUUUGUCGGGAAAGAAAAGCAGCAGGUUAAUACCCCGCUGUUCUGACGGUACCCAAAGAAUAAGCACCGGCUAACUUCGUG